AUUGAACGCUGGCGGCAGGCCUAACACAUGCAAGUCGAGCGGAUGAAGGGAGCUUGCUCCUGGAUUCAGCGGCGGACGGGUGAGUAAUGCCUAGGAAUCUGCCUGGUAGUGGGGGAUAACGUCCGGAAACGGGCGCUAAUACCGCAUACGUCCUGAGGGAGAAAGUGGGGGAUCUUCGGACCUCACGCUAUCAGAUGAGCCUAGGUCGGAUUAGCUAGUUGGUGGGGUAAAGGCCUACCAAGGCGACGAUCCGUAACUGGUCUGAGAGGAUGAUCAGUCACACUGGAACUGGGACACGGUCCAGACUCCUACGGGAGGCAGCAGUGGGGAAUAUUGGACAAUGGGCGAAAGCCUGAUCCAGCCAUGCCGCGUGUGUGAAGAAGGUCUUCGGAUUGUAAAGCACUUUAAGUUGGGAGGAAGGGCAGUAAGUUAAUACCUUGCUGUUUUGACAUUACCAACAGAAUAAACACCGGCUAACUUCGU
rnacentral:rRNA from 1 species